GCAGAAGGGACUCUGUUCCAGGGAGAGUCUGCAUGGGUAAGGGGUAGUGACAUCCCAGGCAGACUCUUCUGUCCUUUGGAGAAGAAGUUCCAAGCUACCUCAUUCAGUGCUGUGGAUCACAGCUUACAGCUGGGUUGGCUCCCUUUUACCUGACCCUGUCAUGAGCCUCAACUUCUUUUGUGUGACUCUUUGUCUCCUGGGAGCAGGCCCCAUGGAUGCUGGAAUCACCCAGAAGCCAAGAUACCAUAUUACACAAACAGGAGACAAGAUGAUCCUGGAAUGUUGUCAGAAUAUGAGCCAUUUUGCAAUGUUCUGGUAUCGACAAGACCCGGGCCAGGGGCCAAGGCUGAUCCAUUAUUCAAGUGAUGUUAACAGCACUGCCAAAGGGGACAUCACAGAAGGGUACAGUGUCUCCCGAAAGAAGAUCGAGGAUUUCCCCCUGACCCUGGAGUCAGCCAGCACCAAGCAGACCUCUUUGUACCUCUGUGCCAGCAGUAAAUACACACUGCUGCACAGCCAGCUGCUCUCUGCACAAAAAGGGCAGCCAGAAGCAUGA